CGAACGCUGUGCGAGAGGCGGGGGGAAGAAGGGGGGGUGGAGCGUGAAACGGAAUGACUGGGCGUAAAGCGAGUGUAGGUGGCUCAUUAAGUCACAUGUGAAAUCCCCGGGCUUAACCUGGGAACUGCAUGUGAUACUGGUGGUGCUAGAAUAUGGGAGAGGGAAGUAGAAUUCCAGGUGUAGCGGUGAAAUGCGUAGAGAUCUGGAGGAAUACCGAUGGCGAAGGCAGCUUCCUGGCAUAAUAUUGACACUGAGAUUCGAAAGCGUGGGUAGCAAACAGGAUUAGAUACCCUAGUAGUC
rnacentral:rRNA from 1 species